GAUGAACGCUGGCGGCGUGCCUAAUACAUGCAAGUCGAGCGAACAGACGAGGAGCUUGCUCCUCUGACGUUAGCGGCGGACGGGUGAGUAACACGUGGAUAACCUACCUAUAAGACUGGGAUAACUUCGGGAAACCGGAGCUAAUACCGGAUAAUAUAUUGAACCGCAUGGUUCAAUAGUGAAAGACGGUUUUGCUGUCACUUAUAGAUGGAUCCGCGCAGCAUUAGCUAGUUGGUAAGGUAACGGCUUACCAAGGCAACGAUGCGUAGCCGACCUGAGAGGGUGAUCGGCCACACUGGAACUGAGACACGGUCAAGACUCCUACGGGAGGAAGCAGUAGGGAAUCUUCCGAAAUGGGCGAAAGCCUGCCGGAGCAACGCCGCGUGAGUGAUGAAGGUCUUCGGAUCGUAAAACUCUGUUAUUAGGGAAGAACAAAUGUGUAAGUAACUAUGCACGUCUUGACGGUACCUAAUCAGAAAGCCACGGCUAACUACGUG
rnacentral:rRNA from 1 species